rnacentral:rRNA from 1 species
GUGGGGAAUCUUAGACAAUGGGCGCAAGCCUGAUCUAGCCAUGCCGCGUGAUCGAUGAAGGCCUUAGGGUUGUAAAGAUCUUUCAGUGGGGAAGAUAAUGACUGUACCCACAGAAGAAGCCCCGGCUAACUCCGUGCCAGCAGCCGCGGUAAUACGGAGGGGGCUAGCGUUGUUCGGAAUUACUGGGCGUAAAGCGCACGUAGGCGGAACAGAAAGUCAGAGGUGAAAUCCCAGGGCUCAACCUUGGAACUGCCUUUGAAACUCCUGUUCUUGAGUUCGAGAGAGGUGAGUGGAAGUCCGAGUGUAGAGGUGAAAUUCGUAGAUAUUCGGAGGAACACCAGUGGCGAAGGCGGCUCACUGGCUCGAUACUGACGCUGAGGUGCGAAAGCGUGGGGAGCAAACAGGAUUAGAUACCCGGGUAGUCC